rnacentral:rRNA from 1 species
GAUCAUGGCUCAGGAUGAACGCUAGCGGCAGGCUUAACACAUGCAAGUCGAGGGGCAACGCGAGUAGCAAUACUUGGCGGCGACCGGCGCAAGGGUGCGUAACGCGUGAGCAACAUGCCCGUAUCAGGGGGAUAAUCCAGGGAAACUUGGUCUAAUACCCCAUAGUAAUUUUGUAAGGCAUCUUAUAAGAUUUAAAGCUUUGGUGGAUACGGAUUGGCUCGCGUGACAUUAGCUGGAUGGUAAGGUAACGGCUUACCAUGGCUAUGAUGUCUAGGGGUUCUGAGAGGAAGGUCCCCCACACUGGAACUGAGACACGGUCCAGACUCCUACGGGAGGCAGCAGUGAGGAAUAUUGGACAAUGGAUGGAAAUCUGAUCCAGCCAUGCCGCGUGAAAGGAAGAAGGUCCUAUGGAUUGUAAACUUCUUUUGUAUGGGAGCAAUAAGGCCUACGAGUAGGUUGAUGAGAGUACCAUACGAAUAAGCACCGGCUAACUCCGUGCCAGCCGCCGC